rnacentral:rRNA from 1 species
AAUGAACGUUGGCGGCGUGGAUUAGGCAUGCAAGUCGAGCGAAUGUCGGUUGUGUAGCAAUACAUGGCUGGCGGAAGCGGCGAAAGGGAGAGUAACGCGUAGUUACGUGCCCCGAGGCCCGGAAUAGCCACGGGAAACUGUGGGUAAUGCCGGAUGUUGUCUUCGGACUAAAGGUGUGAUUCCUCCUUGGGAGCGGACUGCGUUGUACUAGCUAGUUGGUAGGGUAAUGGCCUACCAAGGCGAUGAUGCAUAGCGGGUGUGAGAGCAUGACCCGUCUCACUGGGACUGAGACACUGCCCAGACACCUACGGGUGGCUGCAGUCGAGAAUCUUCGGCAAUGGGCGAACGCCUGACCGAGCGACGCCGCGUGUGGGAUGAAGGCCUUCGGGUUGUAAACCACUGUCGUAGAGGAGGAAGGCUCCGUGAAGAACGGGGUUUGACCUAUUCUAGGAGGAAGGACGGGCUAAGUUCGUGCCAGCCGCCGCGGUAAUAC